rnacentral:rRNA from 1 species
GGACCCGCACAAGUAGUGGAGCAUGUGGUUUAAUUCGAAGAUACGCGCAGAACCUUACCAACACUUGACAUGUUCGUCGCGACUCUAAGAGAUUAAAGUUUUCGGUUCGGCCGGACGAAACACAGGUGCUGCAUGGCUGUCGUCAGCUCGUGUCGUGAGAUGUUGGGUUAAGUCCCGCAACGAGCGCAACCCUCACUUUUAGUUGCCAUCAUUAAGUUGGGCACUCUGAAAGACUGCCAGUGAUAAGCUGGAGGAAGGUGGGGAUGACGUCAAGUCCUCAUGGCCCUUACGUGUUGGGCUACACACGUGCUACAAUGGUAUCUACAACAGGAAGCAAGACGGCGACGUUAAGCAAAUCCCUAAAAGAUACCUCAGUUCAGAUUGCACUCUGCAACUCGAGUGCAUGAAGUCGGAAUC